rnacentral:rRNA from 1 species
AUUGAACGCUGGCGGCAUGCCUUACACAUGCAAGUCGAACGGCAGCACGGGAGCAAUCCUGGUGGCGAGUGGCGAACGGGUGAGUAAUAUAUCGGAACGUGCCCAGUCGUGGGGGAUAACGCAGCGAAAGCUGUGCUAAUACCGCAUACGAUCUAUGGAUGAAAGCGGGGGAUCGCAAGACCUCGCGCGAUUGGAGCGGCCGAUAUCAGAUUAGCUAGUUGGUGAAGUAAAGGCUCACCAAGGCGACGAUCUGUAGCUGGUCUGACCGGACGACCAGCCAAACUGGAACUGAGACACGGUCCAGACUCCUACGGGAGGCAGCAGUGGGGAAUUUUGGACAAUGGGCGAAAGCCUGAUCCAGCAAUGCCGCGUGCAGGAUGAAGGCCUUCGGGUUGUAAACUGCUUUUGUACGGAACGAAACGGUGAGCUCUAAUACAGUUUGCUAAUGACGGUACCGUAAGAAUAAGCACCGGCUAACUACGUGCCAGCCGCCGCAGUAAAAC